rnacentral:rRNA from 1 species
GACGAAGCGGCGGCGUGCAUAUACAUGCCAAGUAGGGCGCACAGUUUAUACCGUAGCCAGCUACACCAUAGACUCUGAGUUGAGAAAGGGUGAGUAACGCGUAGGUAACCUACCUCUCAGAGGGGGAUAACUAUGGAAACGAUAGCUAAUACCGCAUAACAGUAUGUAACACCUCUCAGAUGCUUGAAAGAUGCAAUUGCAUCGAUAGUGGAUGGACCUGCGUUGUAUUAGCUAGUAGGUAGGGUAAAGGCCUACCUAGGCAACGAUACAUAGCCGACCUGAGAGGGUGAUCGGCCACACUGGGACUGAGACACGGCCCAGACUCCUACGGGAGGCAGCAGUAGGGAAUCUUAGGCAAUGGGGGGAACCCUGACCGAGCAACGCCGCGUGAGUGAAGAAGGUUUUCGGAUCGUAAAGCUCUGUUGUUAAGGAAGAACGAGUGUGAGAAUGGAAAGUUCAUGCUGUGACGGUACUUAACCAGAAAGGGACGGCUAACUACGUGCCAGCAGCCGCGGUAAUACGUAAGUCCCGAGCGUUGUCCGGAUUUAUUGGGCGUAAAGCGAGCGCAGGCGGUUAGAAAAGUCUGAAGUGAAAGGCAGUGGCUCAACCAUUGUAGGCUUUGGAAACUGUUUAACUUGAGUGCAGAAGGGGAGAGUGGAAUUCCAUGUGUAGCGGUGAAAUGCGUAGAUAUAUGGAGGAACACCGGUGGCGAAAGCGGCUCUCUGGUCUGUAACUGACGCUGAGGCUCGAAAGCGUGGGGAGCGAACAGG